GACGAACGCUGGCGGCGUGCUUAACACAUGCAAGUCGAACGGUGAAGCGCCUUCCUUUUUGGUGGGUGUGGAUGAGUGGCGAACGGGUGAGUAACACGUGAGUAACCUGCCCCCUUCUUCUGGAUAACCGCAUGAAAGUGUGGCUAAUACGGGAUAUUCUGGGUCUGUCGCAUGAUGGGUCUGGGAAAGAUAUUGUUUCGGUGGGGGAUGGGCUCGCGGCCUAUCAGCUUGUUGGUGGGGUGAUGGCCUACCAAGGCGGUGACGGGUAGCCGGCCUGAGAGGGUGGACGGUCACACUGGGGCUGAGACACGGCCCAGACUCCUACGGGAGGCAGCAGUGGGGAAUAUUGCACAGUGGGCGCAAGCCUGAUGCAGCGACGCCGCGUGAGGGAUGGAGGCCUUCGGGUUGUGAACCUCUUUCGCCAGUGAAGCAGGCCUGCCUCGUUUGUGGGUGGGUUGACGGUAGCUGGAUAAGAAGCGCCGGCUAACUACGUG
rnacentral:rRNA from 1 species